GAUGAAGAACGUAGCGAAAUGCGAUAAGUAGUGUGAAUUGCAGAAUUCAGUGAAUCAUCGAAUCUUUGAACGCACAUUGCGCCCGCCAGUAUUCUGGCGGGCAUGCCUGUCCGAGCGUCAUUUCAACCCUCGAACCCCUCCGGGGGGUCGGCGUUGGGGAUCGGCCCUUUACGGGGCCGGCCCCGAAAUACAGUGGCGGUCUCGCCGCAGCCUCUCCUGCGCAGUAGUUUGCACACUCGCAUCGGGAGCGCGGCGCGUCCAAUGCCGUAAAACACCCAACUUUCUGAAAUGUUGACCUCGGAUCAGGUAGGAAUACCCGCUGAACUUAAGCAUAUCAAUAAGCGGAGGA
rnacentral:misc_RNA from 1 species